UUUUAGCCCUGAUAGUAGUGGAAAUCCUUUUGUAUCCGCCGCGGCGGACAUAAAAGAUACUUCACUUAAUUCGUAUUUUAAUUGGAGUUCAGUGAACUUCGUUUGUAACGAAUAGCAGGAUUAGCU
rnacentral:sRNA from 1 species